GAAAAAAAUGACAAAUGGCGCCACAAUUACGCUUCUGAGUUUACAAAAAAGAGAAUCUCAUAGGCUUAGAGUUUUCCGUUUUGACCAGAAGUGGAAGCUUCUUGACCUAUUUUGUUUCAUCGAUUUCUACACGCUUAAACGGUACUUCGACCUUAAGCUUGACCCCACUCCGAAAAAAGGACAAAGAAACAAGGUCUUCCGGGUCAUUAACGGAUAGCUAUCCCCAGCCUCUAACUUUCUCUUGAAUUCUAACGGUAAGAUUACAGUUAGUGUUCCUCAUGUAAAAAUCUAUUAAAGAGAAAAAAUUACACCACAAAUAGCAAAUUUGA